rnacentral:rRNA from 1 species
GCACGGGUGAGUAACACGUAGGUGAAUUGCCCUUUUGUGGGGGAUAACCCGGAGAAAUUCGGGCUAAUACCGCAUGAGCAGAGAGAGAUUGAAAUACUCUUUGGAAAGGUUGCCUCUACUUGUAAGCAACCGCAGAAGGAGAUGCCUGCGUAGCAUUAGCUAGUUGGUGGGGUAAUAGCCUACCAAGGCUACGAUGCUUAGCUGGUCUGAGAGGAUGACCAGCCACACUGGAACUGAGACACGGUCCAGACUCC